rnacentral:tRNA from 1 species
GUGUCUGUAGCCUAGUUGGUAAAGGCAGCUGCAGCAUAGCUGAGGUUGUGAGUUUGACUCUCACCAUACACA